rnacentral:rRNA from 1 species
GUGGGGAAUCUUGCGCAAUGGGCGAAAGCCUGACGCAGCCAUGCCGCGUGGAUGAUGAAGGUCUUAGGAUUGUAAAAUCCUUUCACCGGUGAAGAUAAUGACUGUAGCCGGAGAAGAAGCCCCGGCUAACUUCGUGCCAGCAGCCGCGGUAAUACGAAGGGGGCUAGCGUUGCUCGGAUUUACUGGGCGUAAAGGGCGCGUAGGCGGACAUUUAAGUCAGGGGUGAAAUCCCGGGGCUCAACCUCGGAACUGCCUUUGAUACUGGGUGUCUUGAGUAUGAGAGAGGUGUGUGGAACUCCGAGUGUAGAGGUGAAAUUCGUAGAUAUUCGGAAGAACACCAGUGGCGAAGGCGACACACUGGCUCAUUACUGACGCUGAGGCGCGAAAGCGUGGGGAGCAAACAGGAUUAGAAACCCUUGUAGC